GGCCCACACGGGGAGACGGCAGGAAGCUCAGACCGUGGCCCCAACAGCAAGGCGUCAUAGUUUUGGAAACAGCUAGGACCGGAAAUUAGUGAGGCUGAUUAGGAAAAUCGACUUGGCUUGACUCGAGAAGUCUCAUAGGGAGAUGACUGUUGCCACCAAGGACACAGGGAGGACACAGAGUCGAGACUCACCCUCACCUGCUCGAGGCAGGCUCGGAUGCCAAGGAUGGUGACUGUCAUGGAUCCUCCACCAGUGCCUAUUUUGUGGAUGAAUUAGGCCUGCAAACCCUGAGCUUGGCUCUUGGGGACAAGGUCAAUCCUUCCCCCACCUCCUAUGAGGUAGGAAAAAAUGGUGUGAUUGUUGGAAAUACGUGCAUCUAUCAAAAGGACAUGAAAUGCCUGCUCAGAGCCUGCAUUCCUUCCAGAAAAUACUUCAGGUCCCAACCCUGCUCCUGUGCUGCCAGGCUAAGCCCCCCACCUGGGUGGGUCCUAAGUCAACAUGACGAUGUGCUUAUAAGAAGACAGCCAUGUGAAGACAGAGAUGGGGGACCCUGUGAGAAGCUUGAGAAAUGCCUCUCCAAGGAAAGGAGUGGCCAGGAUUGGAGGCCAUUGCCAGUGAUGACCUCUGCCACAGCCUCAGAAGGAAUCAGCACCAGGGAAUACAUCUCUGUUGUUAAACCCAGCCAGCAUGUGGUCACUUGUUACUGCAGACCUAGCCAGCGAUACCUGGCCUUUCACACCAUCAAGAAGGUGUCAAGGGAGAGGACAGAAGA
rnacentral:lncRNA from 1 species